CAAUGACUGCUGGGUGAUGCUGCCCCAGGGACCCCAUGGCCAAGUAGGCAGCGCUGUUGCCUCUCCUACCCCCCCAAGCCUGCAGUAUGUGCCACAGGAUGCCAGUGGGCCAUCCUCCCCUUGGCCCAACACCUCCUCAGCUCUAGUAAUGAUGAAAGGAUGGCAUCAGUGCUGGUGUCUGAGAAAGGCUGCCAUGGUCAGCAUGAAAGCUAGUGAUUACGUGAGCGGAGUCUCUGCAGAGAGAAGCAGUAACGCAGGCCUCGGCAGCUUCUGGCUUGUUCCAGGGCCCUCCCUGCUCCGCGGGACCACAGCACUCGAUGCCUCCCUGACCCCUGACCCCUGGCCCAGAGCCGGCCUUCCCUCAGGAAUUGCUCGGAAUAAAAUUUUCCAGAAGGCUU